CCGCCACACACUCAAGGCUUGUGCCUUACCUGUGCAACCACCAGAAUAAAAGACCCAGACUCCUUGCCCCUUCUUCUACUUUUUCCUCUUCUCUUCUUCACUCCCCCGCACCCCCAACCAAAAAACCCUCUUCUCGUGGAACUGUGGAAGCCUGGCUUGAUCUGUCUGGGUAUGUUCAUUCAAGAAAAUGAAGAGGGAGACUUUUGACCAGUAGGAAUCUUGAUUGUCAACUGGUUGAAGAAAAUACCAAAGAGACACACAGAGAUCACUUACACAUCUGUGAUGGUGCUACUUGACACGACUGGCGUGUGGGACAGCACCUGCAGUGGAAAACAACAUUCCUAAAUGUGAGAAACACUAUCCAAGAGUCUACCAGUCCCAGUGGACAAAAGCAAAGGAGGAAGGCUGGGCACUGCAAGCUCAAUUGCUCUCCAAGUGAAGGCCUUUUGUCUCAGCAGUGAAAAAGUUUGCUUACACAGGUGAGGGGUUCUGUGAAAACAGAAGCAAGAAGAGAGCCACCGCAGCCAUUAGCCAAGGAACAAUAACAAUUGCCGGAAGCCACCACAAGACACAAGUCUCACAGUCUUAAAAGGGAUGAAACUGAAGAUUUAAGUGGAUGUGAGUGUCGCGGACCUCUGAGAACCAGCAAGUCCCCAUUUUAGGAGAAUGCCCCAAUAAGCAAAUGAUUGAAAAAAGAGGCCUGGCUUUAAUCUUGGUUUCCAGACCUGUCUCUGAGGUGAGAUUUCCAUCCUAGAUGCCUGUACUGGCUGGUUUUGUGUGUCAACUUGACACAAGCUGAUGUUAUCACAGAGAAAGGAGCCUCCUUUGAAGAAGUGCCUCCAUGAGAUCCAGCUGUAAGUCAUUUUCUCAAUUAGUGAUCAAAGGUGGGAGGGCCCCUUGUGGGUGGUGCCAUCCCUAGGCUGGUAGUCUUGGGUUCUAUAAGAAGCAAGCCAGUAAGUAACAUCCCUCCAUGGCCUCUGCAUCAGCUCCUGCUUCCUGACCUGCUUGAGUUCCAGUCCUGACUUCCUUUGGUGAUGAACAGCAAUGUGAAAAUGUAAGAAAAGAAAUGUCCAGGGGCUUGUGAGAUAGUUCAAUGGGUAAAGGUGAUUUCUGCCAAAGCUUGCAGCCUGCAUUGGAACUCAUGGACUCACAUGAUGGAAAAAAAGAAUAAACUCUCUCAAUUUACCCUCUGAUUCAACAUGUGUGCUUGGACAUCCACCUUCACAAAGUAAAAUACUUAAUGUUAGUAUCUUUGGCAUUAGGCAAAUACUAUAUGUAAUUUUUUGGGGGGGGGUUGUUUGUUUUUCUUUUUUCUUUUCUUUUUCUUUUUGAUAACACAGGGUUUCUUUAUGUAACCACAGAUGUCCUGGAAUUUAUUCUGUAGACCAGUCUGGCCUCAAACACUCAAACUUACAGAGCUCAGCCUGCCUCUGCCUCUCUGCCUCUCUGCCUCUCUGCCUCUGCCUCUCUGCCUCUCUGCCUCUCUGCCUCUCUGCCUCUCUGCCUCUCUCUCUGCCUCUCUGCCUCUCUCUCUGCCUCUCUCUCUGCCUCUCUCUCUGCCUCUCUCUCUGCCUCUCUCUCUGCCUCUCUCUCUCUGCCUCUCUCUCCCUGCCUCUCUGCCUCUCUGCCUCUCACCCUCUCUGCCUCUCUGCCUCUCUGCCUCUCUGCCUCUCUGCCUCUCUCCCUCUCUGCCUCUCUGCCUCUCUCCCUCUCUUCCUCUCUGCCUCUCUGCCUCUCUGCCUCUGCCUCUCAAGUGCUAGAAUUAAAGGCAUGCACCUCCACUGCCCAGGAGCUUUCUUUUCUUGUUGGGGGAGGAGUUGUUCUAUAUUAUAGAGUUGGGAUACUUUCAUUUCAAAUGCUUUGUAAAGGAUCAGUUUGAGUGUAAAGCCCAGAACACUUCAUUAUGAAGUUGCUGAUACUGUAUCAUCAGCCUUGCUUGUUACCAAGCAAUUGAGGAAGACAGCACUUUAAAACAUCUAGAAAACAGAAUUUGUGACCUCAGAAAAAGCAAUAAUUGUUUUGCAAAUGAAAAGCCAUUUCCUCAAUCCAGCCAGUAACUUAAUCUUCAGAUGCAAAUGUGGUGUGCAUCAUCGACUAACCUGAGGAGGAAGCACCUGUCUGCCUCAGUGCCAACAACAUAUCUCGGCUUGACAGUUAUUAAUUUCUAGUCAAAUUAUCCUGGAAUAGGGUCAAAGACAACUAAUGGUUUUCCUUUACAUUCCCGGAUAUGUUGUUUGUCGGUGUUCAGAAUGAAGUGUUCUAUAAAGAGCUGAAGCUGAAACCACAACCUUCUGUGCUCUCUCCACCAGAGAAUAGCCAGAUUAAUAAACGCACUAACACUUCCCUGUGUCUCCCAUACUUCUACUAACAAACCUAUCAGGAUGUUUGCCC
rnacentral:lncRNA from 1 species